rnacentral:rRNA from 2 species
UCGAGGUAAGUAGUUGAUACGUGAUUAGUCCAUGCAGCGUGUGUGAAGAAGGCCUUCGGGUUGCACAGCACUUUCAGUCAUGAGGAAGGUGGUGCACAACAUAACUGCAACAUUUGACGUUAGCGACAGAAGAAUUUGCGGCUAACUCCGUGCCAGCAGCCGCGGUUAACGGAGGGUGCGAGAGUUAAUCUGAUUUCCUGGGCGUAAAGCACAUGUGGGUGCUUUGUUAAAUCCCAUGUGAAAACCCGGAGCUCAUCCCCGGAAUUGCUUUUGAAACUGGCACAGCUGCCUCCUGUAGAAAGGGGUAGAAUUUCAGGUGUAGCGGUGAAAUGCGUAGAGAUCUGAAGGAAUACCGGUGGCGAAGGCGGCCCCCUGGACAGAUACUGACACUCAGAUGCGAAAGCGUGGGGAGCAAACAGGAUUAAAUACCCUGGUAGUCCA